rnacentral:rRNA from 1 species
UACGUAGACCACAAGUGUUAUCCGGAUUUAUUUGGGCGUAAAGCGUGUGUAGGGGGUCCGGUGCGUCCUUGGUUAAAGCCCACCGCCUAACGGUGGAAGUGCCACGGAUACGACCGGACUGGAGGGAGUUAGAGGUGCAUGGAACACAUGGUGUAGGGGUGAAAUCCGUUGAUAUCAUGUGGAACACCAAAGGCGAAGGCGAGUGCACUGGGACUUUCCUGACCCUGAGACACGAAAGCGUGGGGGGAGCAAAAAGG